AACGAGGGAAUUACGAGAGAUCUACGGUGGUUUAAACAAUUAUUUUUAAUUCAACAUAUAGCAUAUUAGAGAGGGUUUAGCGAGGGAUUAGCUACGGAUCUCGCAAGUAUUUAUUGACGAACCCUUAUUUCUCACCAAUCCGUCGAAAAUGAAGACAUUUGUUUAACACCCCGACUCCUAGCCUUGAAGGUGGAUUUUGGUGAGAAAAGCACGAAGUACUAGAGCUUGGAACAAGAAGAGGCUGUGGAUCUGAGUCCUACUUCAUCUUAGCAGCGUUUUGGAAGUAACAAGUGGUGGAGUUCGUGGCUGUGAUUCGAGAGUUGAGCUUGUCACUUCAGUUUGAAAGUUGUGAGGUGAGUUCUCCUCACUAUACUAAGAAAGUCGAAGGCACCAAUGUCGGCCCUUUACGGAUUUGUAUAUGGGUUAUUACAUGAUAUGCUUAUUGAUUUAAAUCCUAAUAGUUAGGAUGGUGAUAUGCUAGUGACCUGGUUAGGUCGGUAUCCUGGUAUAUAGGAUGAUGCUAUGUUAGUGACCGGUUAGGUUUGUAUCCUGAUUAUAGGAUGUUGCUAUGAGU